rnacentral:rRNA from 1 species
GACGAACGCUGGCGGCGUGCUUAACACAUGCAAGUCGAACGGAAAGGCCCUGCUUUUGUGGGGUGCUCGAGUGGCGAACGGGUGAGUAACACGUGAGUAACCUGCCCUUGACUUUGGGAUAACUUUAGGAAACUGGGGCUAAUACCGGAUAGGAUCUCCUGCUGCAUGGUGGGGGUUGGAAAGUUUCGGCGGUUGGGGAUGGUCUCGCUGCUUAUCAGCUUGUUGGUGGGGUAGUGGCUUACCAAGGCUUUGACGGGUAGCCGGCCUGAGAGGGUGACCGGCCACAUUGGGACUGAGAUACGGCCCAGACGCCUACGGUAGGCAGCAGUGGGGAAUAUUGCACAAUGGGCGGAAGCCUGAUGCAGCAACGCCGCGUGCGGGAUGACGGCCUUCGGGUUGUAAACCGCUUUCGCCGGUGACGAAGCGUGAGUGACGGUAAUGGGUAAAGAAGCACCGGCUAACUACGUG